GCACAAGUUGAUCGAGGUCUCUGAAUAUCUACAAGAGAAGAUCUGCUCUGAGCACCAUGAGGUUCUGAAGAUAUACUGUCGUACCGACCAAAGCUUCAUCUGUUACUUGUGUACGAUGCAUGAACACAGAGGACAUGACACAGUUGCAGCUGCAGCAGAACGAGCUGAAAAACAGACUCAGCUGAAGGAGGAGCAGAUGAAAUUCCAGCAGAGAAUCCAGGAGAAGCAGAAGAAGGUGAAGAAGCUGAAACAGGCUGUGAACAUUAUAAAGCUCAGUGCACAAACAGCAGUAGAUGAUUUGGAGGUGAUGGAAGAUCAGGAGAAGGCUGAACU